UUGCAGACAGCAGAGAGGAGGCCAGUGCUUAUGCCCAAAUUCAGACAGGCAAGUAAAGAAGCAGCAAGAUAGGUGACUGGAGCGCAAGUGGAGGAGAACCCUGCUUGAAAUUGACAGGACACAGCAUGGAACCCAUUUGAAGGUUUAUGCGGAAAUGCGGUGUGACAUCUUCUGUGAACAAAUGCGUGGUACUGAUGGCAUCCAUAUUCCACUCCAAGGAACCUCCCAUCUGCUAAGAGAAGGACAUUUCUGUGAAUCUGGGAGCUCUGGUUUUAGAGGAGAGAGUGAUCUCACAGAGAAGCAUAAAACCUGUGGGAGGAACAAUGACAUAACUAUUGCUGAAGGUUCCAAAAGUCUCAAGGAAGGGAUGCUGGCAGCUAGGUCCAGGAUACCAUGCAUCCAAAGCUUAAUGAACCUAAACUUGGAAUGCUGAAUUCAGCCAGCCUUCCUCCCGGUUAAGUGUCUACAAUUACAGCCUUACUCUCUGCACUGCAUUACUCUGGUGGCAAUAGUUCCCCUAACUGCACCAUAAGCUAACUUAGCAUCCCCUUUGCUAAGUAUGGUCUACCUUAGUUUGUGUUUGGAUGGGGGACUACAUGUGAGGAGCACUGUAAGAUAUUCCCCUUGGGGGAUGGGGGUCAUAGCUCAGUGGAACAGCAUCUGUAUGCUUGCAUGCUGAAGGUCACAGUUACCUUUCUGGCAUCUCCAGGUAGGGAUGGGAGAGACUCCUGCCUGAAUCCUGGGAGAGUCAUUGCUAGUCAGUGUAAACACUACUGAGCUAGAUGUAUCAUUGCUCUUAUUCAGUACAGGCAUUCUCUGACCAACAUCUGACUGACAAACACCCUUAUUUGCAAACAAAACUUCGGGGCAUAUUACAAUGAGAAAGUCUCCAACAUACAAACACCAACCUGCACAUACAAACAAGUUGUCACUCUUGGGGACUAUAUGUGUUCCAAGUUAUGAACACCCAAAUUACAAACAAACCUUUGGAACCCAACCCAUUUGUAAAUGGGCUGCCUGUAUAAGGCAGC